GAGAUGGCCAGCAUAUCCUCUGUGAAGAAUCUGCAGUGCUGAAACUCAUUCUUGCCUUCCAAAUUGGAAGAAAGUGGAUUAUUGGAAGCUAAUCUCAGGUUUAUUACUGGAUGCUGUGGAAUUAACACACGGGAGGCCUAUCUCUUUGCACCUGGGUGGGAUAAUGGCAGAAACUUCAGGUAUACUACCAAAUAUGUGUAAUAUUCUUUCUGACAGAGACAACAUAUGACAAUAAAUUCUUUAAGAGAAAUUUGAAUUUUCCA
rnacentral:lncRNA from 1 species